rnacentral:rRNA from 1 species
AUGCCGCGGUGAAUACGUUCCCGGGUCUUGUACACACCGCCCGUCACACCACGAGAGUUGGUAACACCCGAAGUCGGUGAGGUAACCUUUUGGAGCCAGCCGCCGAAGGUGGGACCAAUGAUUGGGGUGAAGUCGUAACAAGGUAGCCGUAUCGGAAGGUGCGGCUGGAUCACCUCCUUUCU